rnacentral:snRNA from 1 species
AUCGCUUCUUGGCCUUUUGGCUAAGAUCAAGUGUCGUAUCUGUUUUUAUCAGCAAUUUAAAAAUGAGCAAACUUAAGAGAGCUCAUGAACUUAACUAGUAAGAGUGCUAUACUUCACAAUGGGAAUAUUUUCUAUCUACUUAAUUUUAUGCACAUUUU